ensembl:misc_RNA
CAUGGUGGAAUGAUAAUAGUUUUGAUAAUCCACGUACCGGGCGGGCUUGGAGCUACCGGGUUGAGGAGGAGCAGAGAGCAGCUCGAGUAAGGAUGGGCUCUCACACCUCCUGGAGCCAGCACCCUCCAGGAUAUUUCCAUGAGGAAAGGAUGGUGGCAGCCCUAGUGACCCAUGGGACACGGCUGGAUCCACGUUCCA